rnacentral:rRNA from 1 species
AACGCACCUUGCGCUCCCUGGUAUUCCGGGGAGCACACCUGUUCGAGUGUCGUGAAUACCUCAAGCCGGAUGCUUUAUUGCUAUCCAGUGCUUGGAUUUGGACUUUGCCGUCGGCCUUUGCAGGUGAUGGCUUGUCUUAAAUGUAUUAGCUGACCCAUGUUGUAUGUUCGGUUCUACUCAGCGUGAUAAUUAUCUGACCGCUGAGGACAUCUGCCUUGUGUGGAUGGCCAGAUGUGCCUUGGAUUGCUUCUAACCUGUCUGCUUUUACAAGUGACAAUCUUUUCAAUUUUGACCUCGAAUCAGGUGGGACUACCCGCUGAACUUAA